rnacentral:rRNA from 1 species
GUGCCAGCCGCCGCGGUAAUUCCAGUUCCAAUAGCGUAUAUUAAAGUUGUUGUGGUUAAAAAGCUCGUAGUUGAACCUUGGGCCUGGCUGGCCGGUCCGCCUCACCGCGUGCACUGGUCCGGCCGGGCCUUUCCCUCUGUGGAACCCCAUACCCUUCACUGGGCGUGGCGGGGAAACAGGACAUUUACUUUGAAAAAAUUAGAGUGCUCCAGGCAGGCCUAUGCUCGAAUACAUUAGCAUGGAAUAAUAAAAUAGGACGCGCGGUUCUAUUUUGUUGGUUUAUAGGACCGCCGUAAUGAUUAAUAGGGACAGUCGGGGGCAUCAGUAUUCAACUGUCAGAGGUGAAAUUCUUGGAUCAGUUGAAGACUAACUACUGCGAAAGCAUUUGCCAAGGAUGUUUUCAUUAAUCAGGAACGAAAGUUAGGGGAUCGAAGACGAUCAGAUACCGUCGUAGUCUUAACCAUAAACUAUGCCGACUAGGGAUCGGACGGUGUUAUUCAUGACCCGUUCGGCACCUUACGAGAAAUCAAAGUGCUUGGGCUCCAGGGGGAGUAUGGUCGCAAGGCUGAAACUUAAAGAAAUUGACGGAAGGCACCACCAGGGGUGGAGCCUGUGCUUAAUUUGACUCAACAUGGGGAAACUCACCAGGUCCAGACACAAUAAGGAUUGACAGAUUGAGAGCUCUUUCUUGAUUUUGUGGGUGGUGCUGCAUGGUCGUUCUUAGCUGGUGGGUGACUUGUCUGCUUAAUUGCGAUAACGAACGAGACCUUAACCUGCUAAAUA